rnacentral:rRNA from 1 species
GACGAACGCUGGCGGCGUGCUUAACACAUGCAAGUCGAACGGAAAGGCCCUGCUUUUGUGGGGUGCUCGAGUGGCGAACGGGUGAGUAACACGUGAGUAACCUGCCCUUGACUUUGGGAUAACUUCAGGAAAAUGGGGCUAAUACCGGAUAGGAGCUCCUGCUGCAUGGUGGGGGUUGGAAAGUUUCGGCGGUUGGGGAUGGACUCGAGGCUUAUCAGCUUGUUGGUGGGGUAGUGGCUUGCCAAGGCUUUGACGUGUAGCCGGCCUGAGAGGGUGACCGGCCACAUUGGGACUGAGGUACGGCCGAGACUCCUACGGGAGGCAGCAGUGGGGAAUAUUGCACAAUGGGCGGAAGCCGGAUGCAGCAACGCCGCGUGCGGGAUGACGGCCUUCGGGUUGUAAACCGCUUUCGCCUGUGACGAAGCGUGAGUGACGGUAAUGGGUAAAGAAGCACCGGCUAACUACGUG